GAUGAAGAACGUAGCGAAAUGCGAUACUUGGUGUGAAUUGCAGAAUCCCGUGAACCAUCGAGUCUUUGAACGCAAGUUGCGCCCGAAGCCAUUAGGCCGAGGGCACGCCUGCCUGGGCGUCACACGUCGUUGCCCCCCCAUCUACUCCUUCGGGAUUGCGGGGGGCGGAUGAUGGCCUCCCGUGCGCCUCGUCGCGCGGUUGGCAUAAAUGCCAAGUCCUCGGCGACGCACGCCACGACAAUCGGUGGUUGCGAAACAUCGGUUGCCCGUCGUGUGCGGUCGUCGCGCAUCGAGGGCUCGAAAAAAUUGCCGGGCUCCGGCUCGGCUUUCAACGCGACCCCAGGUCAGGCGGGGUUACCCGCUGAAUUUAAGCAUAUCAAUAGCGGAGGA
rnacentral:misc_RNA from 1 species